GAAGCAUUUAUCUCCCUCUCCUCCUCUAUUUUUCUCUGAGUUCAUUUCAGAAUAGAACAUGGAGCCUCAAUAAUUUCAUUUAAUGCUUUGUACCUCUUUUACCACACCUAAGAUCCUAAAGAAUUGAAAUAACUCCUAAUAACCAAAGGAAGUAAAUUGUUUACCUGUAAUGACCCUUAUUGUCAUUUUUAGUGUUUUAUCUUCUGUACAUCGUUUAGAGCGUUCCUACAGCGAUUCUAAGUCAUUUAUGACUUGCUGGGACUGACAGAUCGGUCACCUGGUCAUUCGUUUUGUUAUUGUGUGAGCUUUAGUAUUUUUGAAGCUUAUGAACCUUGAACGAUCAUUUUCGAUCAAAAGUUCAAGAAGAUGACAUCAGAAUCCAAUUCUGACGAUUCCAUCAGUUCCGGAAGGGUCAUUUUAGUCCAGUAGCAUUGUCGACAUGACUCCCAAAGUUUUCAGUGUGAGUUGGUGGGAUUAGGCGUUUUAACUUUAAGUUUAAAGGCUAAGUUUGACUUUAGUCAACAUUCUGAGUAAACGCGCUCGGAUGAGAAUUCCGUCAGCGCGGUUAGCUCCGGAAUGUCGAGUUUGGUCUAGUUUGACCCUUCUUUCGGGUUUUGAGGUUUUUGAUAUUUUUCCGAGCCCUUUUGUGGUUUUUGACUUAAAAUGGCCAAUGGAAGUGGGACCCACAUUUUAUCGAGAUGACCUCUGAUGAAAAUUUCGACUGCGCCUUUGAGUCCGGAAUGUCGACUUUGGUAGGGUAGCAUAUCUAUUUUAUUUUUAUCAGGUUCCGAACGGAUUCCGAGCACCCGUCGGAGACUUUAAAGAAAGUAGGCAAAGCUGAAUCUGGUGCAGCCCCUAUAAAAACCCCAACUUUCAGCUUUAUGUUUUACUUUGGAACUUGAUAUCUUGAGCGAUACAACUCCGAAUUGGGCGAUUCAAAAGGCUAAGUUGUGAGAUUUUUCGAGGGCAACACAUUGGUGAGCUUGGAAUCUGAUUUGGGGACACGAUUUGAGGUCCGAAUCAAGUGAUUCAAGAGCCUAUAUUGUGGGGUUUUUCGUGAGGAUCGUCGUGGUGUGAUUGGUUUUGGCUGUUGGAGCUUCAUUUUUGGUAAAAUCUGUGUAUCAACGUUUCGAGGCCUUUUAGAAAGUAAAAGAUCCGGGGAGUGAAUUUUGGAGCGCGCGUGAUCUGCGUUCAGGUCCGAGCACCAGUAGUCAGCGUUGAUCGAGUUUGGAGAAUUUCUGGUCUGGAGACAGGGGUGAGCACACAGGGUUUUGUACUAUUUCAGUCUCCAUCUGUUUAUAUAAAGACUUGUCUUUUACUUUUCGAGACAGUCUAGUUUCGGUGGUCCACUGUUGGGACUUGUACUCGUUUUGUUGGUAGCUCUGUAUUAGUGACUUCCAGGUUCUGGGAGGGAUCCUUUAUUGCAUUUAUGUUUUGGUUUGCUUAUGUUGUUAUAGUAAUUUUUCUUAGUCUUGUUUA